rnacentral:rRNA from 1 species
UACAGAGGUCCCAAGCGUUGUUCGGAUUCACUGGGCGUAAAGGGUGCGUAGGUGGUGAGGUAAGUCUGAUGUGAAAUCUCCAAGCUUAACUUGGAAAUGGCAUUGGAAACUACCUUGCUAGAGGAUUGGAGGGGAGACUGGAAUUCUUGGUGUAGCAGUGAAAUGCGUAGAUAUCAAGAGGAACACCAGUGGCGAAAGCGAGUCUCUGGACAAUUCCUGACACUGAGGCACGAAAGCUAGGGGAGCAAACAGG